AGCAGAAUGCACUGGUAUAGAAGUCUGACGCUCAUGUAGAGACUUGUGUUGGCCCCCUCCUGUGUGUCAGUAGGUUCUAGUUUUCAAGCUCACUGCUCUGGUGGGUUAAGGGCCAAGAGGGAGAGAGAGAAAAAGACAGAAAGACAGAAAGAGAGAGAGAGAGAGAGAGAGAGAGAAAGAGUACCGGAAGAUGUUGACAGGGCAGAAGGAGAAAAUGACAUGGAGUGAGUUCCUCCAGUGGAUGUGGGGCAGUUUUAUGAUGGUUUUAUUUGACAGACAACGCAAGAUCUUCUGCCUCUUCAUCUUCAUCUUCCUGGUCUUCACCUGUUAACAUUACUGCCCAUCAGCUGGACCCUUCUGAGUGUGUACUGAGCACUGCCCCUGGAAAUCUUUAACGUUUACAUCACGCUUUGUUGCACCGAACGGCAAGACUACUGACCCGCCACCCACCCACCCACCCACCCACGCACAGCCACCGUUCGCUGGCGACUGAAGCCCGGCGGAACUGCUACGAAACGCUCCGAUCGCUUACAGGAGUAAACGGCUCUUCCCCGCCGCAGAGACAGAGCGACACGUGGAAGCAGGGGAGGAUUAGAGACCGAAAUUGUGAUUCUUUCACUACUGUCCUUCUCUCCUCCUCCUCCUCCUCCUCCUCCUCUCUGCGUUCUUCCUCACCGGCGCGGACGGCGG